rnacentral:miRNA from 1 species
CGGCUGGGCUGGGCUGGGCUGGGCUGGGCUGGCGUCCCCCAGCGUCACCGCUGAU